rnacentral:rRNA from 1 species
UCUGACGGAGCACGCCGCGUGAGUGAUGAAGGUUUUCGGAUCGUAAAGCUCUGUUGUUAGGGAAGAACAAGUACCGUUCGAAUAGGGCGGUACCUUGACGGUACCUAACCAGAAAGCCACGGCUAACUACGUGCCAGCAGCCGCGGUAAUACGUAGGUGGCAAGCGUUGUCCGGAAUUAUUGGGCGUAAAGGGCUCGCAGGCGGUUUCUUAAGUCUGAUGUGAAAGCCCCCGGCUCAACCGGGGAGGGUCAUUGGAAACUGGGGAACUUGAGUGCAGAAGAGGAGAGUGGAAUUCCACGUGUAGCGGUGAAAUGCGUAGAGAUGUGGAGGAACACCAGUGGCGAAGGCGACUCUCUGGUCUGUAACUGACGCUGAGGAGCGAAAGCGUGGGGAGCGAACAGGAUUAGAUACCCUGGUAGUCCACGCCGUAAACGAUGAGUGCUAAGUGUUAGGGGGUUUCCGCCCCUUAGUGCUGCAGCUAACGCAUUAAGCACUCCGCCUGGGGAGUACGGUCGCAAGACUGAAACUCAAAGGAAUUGACGGGGGCCCGCACAAGCGGUGGAGCAUGUGGUUUA